GACUUGGGGGCUCAGUUGGUAGAGCGGUGGGAUGGAAUCCCUAAAUUGCGAGUUUAAUCCUCACCUGAGAUCA